AUUGAACGCUGGCGGCAGGCUUAACACAUGCAAGUCGAGCGGAGUGAUGGUGCUUGCACUAUCACUUAGCGGCGGACGGGUGAGUAAUGCUUAGGAAUCUGCCAUUUAGUGGGGGACAACAUUCCGAAAGGAAUGCUAAUACCGCAUACGUCCUACGGGAGAAAGCAGGGGAUCUUCGGACCUUGCGCUAAAUUAUGAGCCUAGGUUGGAUGAGCUAGUUGGUGGGGUACAGGCCUACCAAGGCGACGAUCUGUAGCGGGUCUGAGAGGAUGAUCCCCCCGACUGGGACUGAGGCAAGGACCAGACCCCUACGGGAGGAAGCAGUGGGGAAGAUUGGACAAUGGGCGGAAGCCUGAUCCACCCAUGCCGCGUGUGUGAAGAAGGCUUUUUGGUUGUAAAGACCUUUAAGAGAGGAGGAGGCUAAUAGUACUAAUACUACUGGAUAGUGGACGUUACUCGAAGAAUAAGCACCGGCUAACUCUGUGCCUGCAGCCGCCGUAAGAC
rnacentral:rRNA from 1 species